CUGUGUCGCAGGUCCAGGAUGCCCAGCCCCUCGUGGACUCUCGCGCCCCACUCAGCCUCAGCCACCUUCACCUGAAACUCAAGAAGCUGAAGCUGGAGGAGGAGCGGCUCGCCGUCAUCGACAGGGACAACCGCUUGCUGCUGGAGAAGGUGUCCUGCGUCAUGAGGACCAGAGGACAGACUGAGAACAGAAGCAACUGCACACUUAAGAGGAAAUAAGGGAAGAAGGAGAGAAAAGAGGAAGCAGAAGUGAUUUCAGGAGGUACCAGCCAGUCAGAGGCCCACAGGAAGUCCCUGGGCUUGAACAAGGGAGCCAGACAGAGCCAGACUUCAGGAAACAUGAAAAGGAUGUGAGGGGCCAAAGGUGGCCUGUGAACCGACCCAGCUCCUCCCACGCCAGGAAAUUACUUUGGCCGGCAUUGCAAGUCACAUACCGCCUCCUCGUCUUGCUUGGAUUUUAAACCAGUAGAAGACUUCCUUGCCCCUUCCCUACGUAUUUCUCGUUGUUCUGCUCUGGGCCAUAUGCUGAGGACAAAGGGUGGUUGCUUUGCAUGUUCAAACUCAAAAUAAAUUCAGCUUCGCGCAGCUCUGACAUUUGGAGUGUUGAAGUAGAAGGCAUCAAGCUAGUUCAGCUAGUGACCCCUCACAAAGUAGUGGUAGAAAUGGUGUGUCUCCUUGUGAUUAGUUUAACGGAGCCCCAGCAAGAAUAAAAGUCAAUGAUUUCUGUCAAGAAUGCAUCAGCUUGGGCCUGAUAACUGGCCAUUUCAUUUCUCUGUCCUUUAUUUAAUAAAACACACACUUUAUUUCAUAAAACACACUUUAUUUAAUAAAACACACUUCCACGUGGUGGAAGAGAAGCAGCCAAUUUUCAGGGACACCUUGGCUGUUCCCAGAACACUACAAACUAGUUGGUUCAAUUAGUAUAGAUGUACCCAGCCAGCUAACUACUCAGUAGCACAAGUCAACACUGUAAGAGAAACUAUAUGAAAAACAAUUGGGCUUUAACUCUUAACUUUAUUUUGCAUGGCUUUAUUGAAAUCUAAUUGGCAUAUGGUAAACUAUAUAUUUUCAGUGUACCAUUUGAUAAGUUUGACAUGCUUUACACCUGUAAGAAUAUCACUACAAUCAAGAUAAUUACAUCUAUCACUCCUCAAGGUCUCCUGUUACCAUGAAUAAUUACCCCACCCCUCCUCUCUCCCAGCCACAUGCAUCCACAAUCUGCUUUUUGUCCCUAUGGACAAGUUUGCAUUUUCUGAGUUUUAUGUGAGUAGAUCCACACAGUGUCUGCCUUUUUCUGCCAUUCGCUCCAACUAAUAUCAUGGUUGAGUGAAUCAAUAGACCAUUCCUUUUUGCAGCUGAGUAGUACUCAUUGUAAGGAGCUAUCACAGUUUGUUUAUCCAUUCACUUAUUGGUGAGCAUUUGGAUUAUUUCCAGUCUUUGGCUAUUACAAAUAAGGCUGAAAUGAGUAUUCAUGUUUUUUUAAAAUAAAAAACCGGUAUCUGCCCAAGACUGACAACUAAAUGAUGAAUGAAGAAUCUUAAAUAUAAGUCACACAGAGAAAGUCUUCCAUGCACGACAGCAUUAAGGAGGUCCCUGGACCCACUCUCCAGUAAAACUGAUAAAAAUUAUUUUUAAAACAACCCUUUAAAGUCUAUGGAAAUGGUCCUAAGGAUAUCCACCAUAUGAAGAAACAUAUAUCCAAGAAAAUCUGCUAAAAUGUGAUGUGGCAAGAACAGACAGAUUCCAUAGUAUUUGAAAUGAGACCUACUCCAUUCCCCCUCCCUCCCAGCUCAGCAAAGCAGAGAUUCUGCUCAAGGCUGUGAAGCCAAGAACAUAGGACUCCAUCUCUCUCUAACUCCCCACUGGAAGCUUUCUUCCUGGAAAAGACAGGACUUCAGCAUUUAUCAUCCUGUCUCCAGCUGCCUAUUACUAAGACCAUGUCUCAGGUGAGAGUGGCCCAGAGGUGAAGGCUUCUUUCUGCCCAGCUCCCACCCAGAAAAUGGAGGCUCCACCUUGAGGGUGGUGUUGCUGAGAAUACUGGAGCCUGGUCCCCUUGGCCGAGUUCAUAAAACAAUGGUUUGGCUCUGGAACAGUCAAGCCAUAAAUAUCUAUGUGUUCUCCCCCACUACAGUGAAAGAGCAUGUCACACAGACAGAAUCUUGCCAUUCUGAGCUCCAGAACUUUGAAUUUUGUCCAGGGUGAGAUGCAAACCGUGAAACAAAUGGUUCCUGAUGUUCCCUCAAAGCAACUGACUUCAUUUGCAGCAGAGUGUGGUAAGUUCCAAGCAUCACUGGACAUGAAAUAAAAGACAUUCAAAUUGGAGAGGAAAACAAAAAGCUGUCUCUAUUCACAGAUGAUGUGAUCUUGCAUACAGAAAAUCCUGAGGAAACCAAUAAGAAAAAACCCCAAAACUAUUAGAACUAAUACACAAGUUCAGCAAGGUAGCAGGACACAAGAUUAAUAUAUAAAAGUCCAUUGUAUUUUUAUAUAGUUGCUAUUAA